CUGGCUCAGAUUGAACGCUGGCGGCGUGCCUAACACAUGCAAGUCGAACGCGAAAGUCUCUUCGGAGAUGAGUAGAGUGGCGCACGGGUGAGUAACGCGUGGAUAAUCUACCUAUUGGUACGGGACAACAGUUGGAAACGACUGCUAAUACCGUAUACGCUGGAAACGGGAAAGGGGGCCUCUUCUUGAAAGCUCUCGCCAGUAGAUG
rnacentral:rRNA from 1 species